AAAAUGGUUAACCCAAGUUAUUUAGCAGCUAGGGCUAAGGAUUAUAUAAACCCUUAUCUUUCCUUAUUAUCCCACUGAACACUUGGGAUGUUACAACAUGGGACUAGGCAAGACUGUGGUUUUAAAUAACUGUUGCUAAUUUGAUAUGAUAUUCCCUGUUAGAAAUUAGAAUACUGUGAUGUGAAUUUGAAAUCACACUGAAACAGAGCUGAAUUGGCUAAAAUGUCCAUAACAGCUGUUUCCCAUGGUCACAUAAUGGUUGUAACAGCUGGGCAAAUGAAGAGGAGAAGGGAAGAGAGAGACCGGGUUUUUUUUGUGGGGGCUGGGGUGGGGUUGGGGGGG
rnacentral:misc_RNA from 1 species